CCCUGCCCCAUAGGUGCCUUGUCCCUGCCCCAUAGGUGCCCUAUAGCUGCCCCACAGCUGCCCUGUCCCUGCCCCAUAGGUAACCCUACAGCAGCCCCAUACGUGCCCCAUAUGCAUCCCCUAACCGCCCCACAGCAGCCCUAUAGAUUCCCCCCACAGCAGCCCUAUACGUGCCCUAUAACUGCCCCAUAGGGAACCCUAUGGGUACUAUACUGCCCCUAAACCAGCCCGCCCUGACG